UACAAACUACAAGAAAAACAAAAGGAAUGCCAAUAGCAUAAUACUGUAUAACAUCUCAAAUGUAAAAAAAGAUACCGCUUUUCAAAUUUGUGGUAUCAUCCAGUAUUAUGCUAUUGGCGUUCCUUUUGUUUUUCUUGUAAAUUGUAUUUGUUUAUAUG